UACAGAGGGGGCAAGCGUUGUUCGGAAUUACUGGGCGUAAAGGGCUCGUAGGCGGCCAACUAAGUCACACGUGAAAUCCCCAGGCUCAACCUGGGAACUGCGUGUGAUACUGGAUGGCUUGAAUUCGGGAGAGGGAUGCAGAAUUCCAGGUGUAGCGGUGAAAUGCGUAGAUAUCUGGAGGAAUACCGGUGGCGAAGGCGGCAUCCUGGACCGACAUUGACGCUGAUGAGCGAAAGCUAGGGGAGCAAACGGG
rnacentral:rRNA from 1 species